rnacentral:rRNA from 1 species
GAUGAACGCUGGCGGCGUGCUUAACACAUGCAAGUCGAACGGUGAAGGCGGAGCUUGCUCUGCUGGAUCAGUGGCGAACGGGUGAGUAACACGUGAGCAAUCUGCCCCUGACUCUGGGAUAAGCGCUGGAAACGGCGUCUAAUACUGGAUACGAGCUGCGAAGGCAUCUUCAGCAGCUGGAAAGAAUUUCGGUCAGGGAUGAGCUCGCGGCCUAUCAGCUUGUUGGUGAGGUAAUGGCUCACCAAGGCGUCGACGGGUAGCCGGCCUGAGAGGGUGACCGGCCACACUGGGACUGAAACACGGCCCAGACUCCUACGGGAGGCAGCAGUGGGGAAUAUUGCACAAGGGGCGAAAGCCUGAUGCAGCAACGCCGCGUGAGGGACGACGGCCUUCGGGUUGUAAACCUCUUUUAGCAGGGAAGAAGCGAAAGUGACGGUACCUGCAGAAAAAGCGCCGGCUAACUACGUG